rnacentral:misc_RNA from 1 species
UGUGUGUUACGUUCUUUGUUACGUUGAGUGGAUUCAACCGUUUAUACAAUAUGCAAUACGCCUUGGAUGAUCUACUUAUGUGAAUAGAGACAUUGCCACUGGACGGAUAACUCCGGAAAACACGCAGGAAUCGCUUCAAAACCACGAUCAUCCUGUAGGAACGACCCUGGGGAAAUACCUUCAAGCAUCGUCACUGAUUUAUAAGUUCCAAGAGGCCAACAGUAAAACAAUAAAAAAAGAUAUCCAGGAAAAAACCGAAAAUACUUAAUUGAUGCGAAUUUCGCUGGAAAAGUCGGUCGUCUCGAAGACACGCGAGUCACGAGGCGAAUCCAUUCGAUAGACGUGGAAACAGAGGCUGAAUACAUGUCUUGAAAAUAUAACUUGAGCAAGCACAGACAGAUUCUUUUAAGUUCGUCAUAUAACGUGUACAGUUUGACCAAUAUAAUUUUGCCACUCAUUUGCAUGAGUCGAUAAAGAGAAAAUGAUAUUAAAAUCAGAUCAAAGAUGAUUUUUUUUAAUAUUUAGGAUAGCUUAGUACAGUAUCUAAUUUCAAAAGAGGAUAGAUGAUUUAAUGGUAGAAGACUCAAGUACUUUUCACUCCUACUCUUUUUUUAUGUUUCCUGUUAUUACUUCUUUU